rnacentral:rRNA from 1 species
UUGAGCGAUUUACUUCGGUAAAGAGCGGCGGACGGGUGAGUAACGCGUGGGUAACCUACCCUGUACACACGGAUAACAUACCGAAAGGUAUGCUAAUACGGGAUAAUAUAUUUGAGAGGCAUCUCUUGAAUAUCAAAGGUGAGCCAGUACAGGAUGGACCCGCGUCUGAUUAGCUAGUUGGUAAGGUAACGGCUUACCAAGGCGACGAUCAGUAGCCGACCUGAGAGGGUGAUCGGCCACAUUGGAACUGAGACACGGUCCAAACUCCUACGGGAGGCAGCAGGGGGGAAUAUUGCACAAUGGGCGAAAGCCUGAUGCAGCAACGCCGCGUGAGUGAUGAAGGCCUUCGGGUCGUAAAACUCUGUCCUCAAGGAAGAUAAUGACGGUACUUGAGGAGGAAGCCCCGGCUAACUACGUGCCAGCAGCCGCGGUAAUACGUAGGGGGCUAGCGUUAUCCGGA